rnacentral:rRNA from 1 species
ACAUGUCAGGAAUCUUCAGAGAUGAGAGAGUGCCUCGGGAACCUGAACACAGGUGCUGCAUGGCUGUCGUCAGCUCGUGCCGUGAGGUGUUGGGUUAAGUCCCGCAACGAGCGCAACCCUCGUCCUUAGUUGCCAUGCCGCAAGGCGGAACCCUAAGGAGACUGCCGGGGACAACCCGGAGGAAGGUGGGGAUGACGUCAAGUCCUCAUGGCCCUUACAUCCAGGGCUACACACGUACUACAAUGGUCGGUACAGAAGGUUGCAAGACCGCGAGGUGGAGCUAAUCCCAAAAACCGGCCUCAGUUCAGAUUGAAGUCUGCAACUCGACUUCAUGAAGGUGGAAUUGCUAGUAAUCGCAGAUCAGCACGCUGCGGUGAAUACGUUCCCGGGCCUU